UACGUAGGGGGCAAGCGUUGUCCGGAUUCAUUGGGCGUAAAGAGCGUGUAGGCGGCCAGACGAAGUCGUUGAUGAAACUAGAGGCUUAACCUCUAGACGUCGACUGAAACUGUUUGGCUAGAGUCCGGAAGAGGAGAAUGGAAUCCUGUGUAGCGGUGAAAUGCGCAGAUAUCAGGAAGAACACCCGUGGCGAAAGCGGCUCUCUGGAACGGUACUGACGCUGAGACGCGAAAGCGUGGGGAGCGAACAGG
rnacentral:rRNA from 1 species